UGCCUGCAGGAGGGAGGGGUAUUUGUUUCUGUACCUCUUUUGCUCAGGAGAGGACUCUGGGCUGGGCUCUUGAGCCAGGGAAGGGAGACUUCGAGCGGAGCUGUUUGCAGCAGGAAAGGCCUGGGCCCCCUACAAAUAAAGGAACCAACCAGCUCUUCGAUCAGGCCCUGGGCCAGGCGGCCAAAGCGGGUCUUCUCCUGGUAACUCUGGGGAAGCUUCUCCAGGGAGUUCUCCUGAGACAAUGAGAAAACAUGCAGCCUUCGCCGAUGGCUUUCAUCUUCAGGAUCACAAAACAAAAGCCCCACCUCCAGCUUACACGGAGGAACUUCUCUCUUUUAAGUGGACGUUCCCCCGAAGUACCAUUGCACAGCGAAAGCGCACAAAUCAGACGGGCACCAUGGGGGCCAGGCCAGUGCCUGAAGCCAGCAUGAGGAGCUCACCAUACUGGGGAACAGAACGGGGAGAGGGCAGGUCUCAGCCCACCCACCCACCACAUGGCCCAUUCCUGGGCUUGCUUGAACUGCACAGCAUAGCACAACCCUGCCUGGGGGUCCCACCCGUGUGAGGUCCCCUCUCCACGACCUUCAGGAAGCCGUCCUUGCUUGUGAAAGCCUACAGCUUAUGAAGUCUGUGUCACAGAAAUUAUGGAAUCUGGAGAUUGAAAUGGAACAUAAAAAGGUAUAGCCCAUCCUACAAGUGGUUCAGCUGCUCUCCUACCCAUCUCCACAGGACUUUGCUUACAUACUUCUCUUGACAGGGAACCCACUACCUCCCAAAGCAGAUCACUCUGUCAUAGGCUGACUUCCCCUGCCAGAGAGGUCUUUCCACCUCACACUGAGCUGAAACCUGCUCCUGCCAAAGCCUAGUCUGCCACCCCUAUCGCAGCCCUGCCCUCUGUGCUGCCUUCUCUGCCCCAGGGGAGCCCUGUAGAGAUCUGAGGGCCCUGGCAUGGAUCCCUGAGCCUGCUCUAAACUGAGAUAUUUACUACACAUAAGCACCCAGCACUGGCACAGAAGAGUCACUCAAAGAAGAGAAUUUCUUCCCCAGGAGGGCCCAAUUCUAUCAGCCCAUUACUGAAUCCACGAAUCCAUCUCCUGGCUCUAGGUCUCUUUAGGAGAUGUGAUCUUCUUUAAGGUCAGUGCUUUAAAGGUUAGUGUCCGACCUAUGCAGCAAGCUAGUCACCUCCUUCAUUCUAGAGAUUAGGCCUCUGAGAAUGCAGCCCAAGUUUCCACCAGCUUUACCGACGGCUAAUGCCUCUCACACCCCAGCAUGAAAUACUUCCUCGAGUAUCAGUCAUGCAGACCUGGGUCUAAAUCCUCAGCCAAAUGAUCUGGCCAAGUGCUUUCACUUCUCUGAGCCUUGGUUUCCUCACAGGUGAGAAAGAGUAACAGCUUCUUCCCCACAGUAACAUGUGUUUCAGAACUGUCAUGGGGAUUAAACAAGAUGCCAUCAAGUGCCUGGUGCAGAUCCUGGCACUCCCACACAGUUCAACCCCUUCCCUCACUGAGCCCUGCUGCUGUCUGCACCAUCCUGUCCUGUGUGUGUGUCCCCAGCCUCCUGGUCCCCUGCCCGUCUGCUCCUCCUCUUCCUCCCACCACCCCUCGGGGUCUCUUCUGUAAAGUCUUCCCCGGGCCAGGAGCAUGUGAGGGGUCCUUCCUUUGGAUCCCCACAGUCCUCUGUACUUCCUCCUCACGACAUAGGUCAUGCUGCACCACCACCAUUUGUGUGGGUGUCUGUUCCCCCAUCACACAGUGAGCUUCUGGAGGACAGGGCCUCAUCUGUUUGCCCCAUGUGUGAACCCAUGUGGAAACCUGUGAACGUCUGGCGGGAACGCACAGAGAUAUGCUCACGUGCCACUCUCAGGGUGGUCACGAUGUCCCAUCUACAAUGAAGGUGACUGCAGAGCGGCCAGACAGGGCCAGGGAGAGGGCCAGAGCAGCCCGGCGUCCCCACGGGCGCAGAACCACACUUUUGUGCAUCCCAGAGGCCAAGUUUGUGUGUGAGAUGCCAUGUCUCUGUCUGGCCCUAUACUGCCUGGCCCUAUAAUACCCAUGGAUGGGAAGGGCCGGGGCUCUGCAGGGGUGUUCUGUGGGCGCAGGGAGGCUCCCCCAAGAAGGGAUGGUCAAGACAGUGUGCAUCAGGAGUCCCCUCCAGGUCAGGGGGAAACAGGGACAAUUUGGGUCCUUUGACAAGGGCCUGGGGGACACGGGGACACUCUCAGCUAAAAUGCAAGGCUGAGCAAGGCUGACACAGGGAGCACGCUGCCGAGGGCUAUUGCCACCCAGAUACCGGCUACGUCUGUAAGUGGGGGUAGCAGUACCCCAGAGCUGUGGCGGGGUAAACCCUUAGCACAGACAUGAGGGCCUGGCCCAUAGGCAGCACCACACACGUGUCUCAUGGCGUUGUACACAUGUAUGUGGGUGCACGCACUUGUUACACACACAAACAUGGAUGCGUGCAUGGGCGUUCCACCAUGUGUGGAAGAGGAGCUGCGAAGUUAUCUGCUAAGGUAGUGAGACUGGUGUGUCUGGGUAGAUGGCCUGCAGGUGUGCUUUCCUUUCUUCUUUUUGCCUGUCUACAUCUGAUUUCUUUUUUUCUUUCUUU